rnacentral:rRNA from 1 species
GACGAACGCUGGCGGCGUGCUUAACACAUGCAAGUCGAACGGAAAGGCCCUGCUUUUGUGGGGUGCUCGCGUGGCGAACGGGUGAGUAACACGUGAGUAACCUGCCCUGGACUUUGGGAUAACUUCAGGAAACUGGGGCUAAUACCGGAGAGGAGCUCCUGCUGCAUGGGGGGGGUUGGAAAGUUUCGGCGGUUGGGGAUGGACUCGCGGCUUAUCAGCUUGUUGGUGGGGGAGUGGCUUACCAAGGCUUUGGCGGGUAGCCGGCCUGAGAGGGUGACCGGCCACAUGGGGCCUGAGAUACGGCCCAGACUCCUACGGGAGGCAGCAGUGGGGAAUAUUGCACAAUGGGCUGAAGCCUGAUGCAGCAACGCCGCGUGCGGGAUGACGGCCUUCUGGUUGUAAACCGCUUUCGCCUGUGACGAAGCGUGAGUGACGGUAAUGGGUAAAGAAGCACCGGCUAACUACGUG